ensembl:processed_transcript A230103J11Rik RIKEN cDNA A230103J11 gene
GUGCAACGCUUGGCACACGCACGGCAGGACUUGAAGCACGACUCGCGCAUCCAGGUCAUCCUUCGGGCUCACCCAGGAGGCUACAGCAUCGCAGAAGAAAAUAAAGUCCUGAAACAUGACGGAUCCCAUGUGAGGGGCCGCCCAAGCCAGCCCCCGCCCUGCCCUCUGAGCCCCGCUGCCCGGACCUGCACAACACCCCCAGGAUUGACACCAAUCAUCAUGCAGAUGCCUCGGAAGGCAGAAUCCUUCUCCUCGUUGUCCCGGAUGUUCCUAAGGGACGUGCACCUGGCCAUGGAGGAGGGCAGCAGGUCCCACCCAGGCAGGCACACACCAAGGCCGGAUGAACUGCUGCAGCAUGGGUGCCACCUCCUGCGGGCACACGUAGCCCAGGCGGCCGAUGGUGAUGGCUGGAAUGGCAGAGGGACUCGUCAGGCGACCUGCAACCCCGAGUGGCCCCGGGACGGUCUUAGAAGCCUUCCUUCCGGGAACGGCCCCCUCAGCCCCGGCCUGGUACUCACCUGUGUUUUCCAGCAGCGUCUUGGGUGUGUUGGGCCUGUUAAUGAUCUCCACCAGGUUGUUGAGGACCAUCUGCACAUAAGGCUGCAUCUCUGCCCCUAGGGAGCAGCCAUUCAGAGCCCUGCAUGGCCCACUCCACCCACAGAGUGCCAGCUGGGCAUAGCUGACCUCACGCCAUGAUCCCAGUUACAUGCGGACUGGCAUACCACCACACCCGAGAGAACAAAGACCCUUCUCGGGAUGCUCCCCACCAAGUCCGCAGCCAACACACAACAGAACCACCCAAAGGAGUCUCUGAAGUCAUUACCCAGAAGGUAACAUGACCACUCCACCCAGUCUUCCCCAAGGACAGGAAGUCAAAGUCACUGAUCCCAGUGGACCUUUCAGAAAAACAAUUACACGAGAUGGUCCGGUCAGUAGGAACAAACUGUCUACCCCACGUCAUAAAUGGCCCUUCAGUUAUUUGACUUCACUUGUCAGGGGGAUCAAAGUAUGUUCUUUCCCCUGACCAAUAGGAUGGAGACAGAGCAAUGAAGAGGCAGGCAGUCUGCCACUCUCGAGGCACUCACCCAUCUGCAUGCAGAUCUCCCCAAUGGCCCAGGUAGCAUUGUUGCAGACAGAGAUGAACUCAGGGUUCAGGUUGGUACCCAGAAUAGGCAUGAACUCAGCUAAUGCAAAGAGCAGAGCAGGGAGGGGAGAAAAAAACCCCAACUGAGCAGAAAGGCCACUGAGGCCCGCCAAGCUCCCAGAACUGACUGGGCAGCCCCAUCAGACAGUACGAAUACAUCCCAGUCCGGUCAUGGGCCUCCCAGGGUAUGUCUCCAUCACUUAAGGCCAAUGUUGAGGUCAUGGGACGGGGGCAAACAGGGUAGCUUACCGAUACAGGGCUUGACGUGGAUAAAGCAGGCUUUGGUAAGGUCUCCCAGAAGGGCAAAGGAGCUCUGCCGGACCUCAGGCAUGGAAUCCUGGAGUUGGGAAAGAUGGCGGAAAUGGCAGGGCUGCUCCUACUCCUUCCAUCUAAGCCAUUGGAGGUGGCACAGUCCCCCUCGAGCACACCCUGACCACAAAUACUGAGGUACAGGUCUGUCCACCAUGUCCACCACACAGACCUUACUUCACUAGCCUUCUACUAUACUACAGCCUGUUUCCCAGGACACGGGGUUGGAGUUCAUUGGUAAGCAUUUACUUUGAAAACUCUCUAGAACCCCAUUUUACCCCUACCUAUCCCGCCUCCCAAAACCGCAAAAAAUAAAUUGUAUUACAU